rnacentral:rRNA from 1 species
GCCUAGCCACAAACCUUGAUAGCAUUUUACAACCGCUAUCCGCCAGGGAAGUACAAGCGCUAGCUUGAAACCCAAAGGACUUGGCGGUGCUUCAGACCCCCCUAGAGGAGCCUGUUCUAGAACCGAUAAUCCCCGUUCAACCUCACCAUUUCUUGUUUCUCCCGCCUAUAUACCGCCGUCGUCAGCCUACCCUCUAAAGGACUAAAAGUAGGCAAAAUAAGUACAACCCAAAACGUCAGGUCGAGGUGUAGCGAAUGAAAUGGGAAGAAAUGGGCUACAUUCUCUAUUCUUAGAGAAACACGAAAAAUGAAAUGAAAUGUUCAUCUGAAGGAGGAUUUAGCAGUAAGUAGAAAAUAGAGUGUGUCUGCUGAAGCCGGCUCUGAAGCGCGUACACACCG